rnacentral:lncRNA from 1 species
UCUAAAUGCUGGAGUUUUUGAGAUAUAAGCCAAAAACUGCAUAUUACCCUGUGUUCUAUUUUUAGCCAUGACAGCCAUGUUUUUUUGACGAAAUAGAAAAUAAAACACAAACUUUAUUUUAUACACCCUACUGAUCAUUCAGUUGAAGUUUGGUUGAAUUUGGUUGAGUAGUUUUAGAGGAGAAGAUUUUUUAAAGUUAGCAAUUAUGAUGAACAAAUUGUGAAAAAUUG